GACGAACGCUGGCGGCGCGCCUAACACAUGCAAGUCGAACGGAGCUGAGAGAAGCUUGCUUUUCUUAGCUUAGUGGCGAACGGGUGAGUAACGCGUGAGUAACCUGCCCUGGAGUGGGGGACAACAGUUGGAAACGACUGCUAAUACCGCAUAAGCCCACGAUCCGGCAUCGGAUUGAGGGAAAAGGAUUUAUUCGCUUCAGGAUGGACUCGCGUCCAAUUAGCUAGUUGGUGAGGUAACGGCCCACCAAGGCGACGAUUGGUAGCCGGACUGAGAGGUUGAACGGCCACAUUGGGACUGAGACACGGCCCAGACUCCUACGGGAGGCAGCAGUGGGGGAUAUUGCACAAUGGGGGAAACCCUGAUGCAGCGACGCCGCGUGGAGGAAGAAGGUUUUAGGAUUGUAAACUCCUGUCGUUAGGGACGAUAAUGACGGUACCUAACAAGAAAGCACCGGCUAACUACGUG
rnacentral:rRNA from 1 species